UACGGAGGGUGCAAGCGUUAUCCGGAUUCACUGGGUUUAAAGGGUGCGUAGGUGGGCAGGUAAGUCAGUGGUGAAAUCUCCGAGCUUAACUCGGAAACUGCCGUUGAUACUAUUUGUCUUGAAUAUUGUGGAGGUAAGCGGAAUAUGUCAUGUAGCGGUGAAAUGCUUAGAUAUGACAUAGAACACCAAUUGCGAAGGCAGCUUACUACACAACGAUUGACGCUGAGGCACGAAAGCGUGGGGAGCAAAAGGG
rnacentral:rRNA from 1 species